rnacentral:rRNA from 1 species
UGAGUAACCUGCCCUUGACUCUGGGAUAAGCCUGGGAAACCGGGUCUAAUACCGGAUAUGACUGCCGGCCGCAUGGCCUGGUGGUGGAAAGCUUUAUUGCGGUUUUGGAUGGACUCGCGGCCUAUCAGCUUGUUGGCGGGGUAAUGGCCCACCAAGGCGACGACGGGUAGCCGGCCUGAGAGGGUGACCGGCCACACUGGGACUGAGACACGGCCCAGACUCCGUACGGGAGGCAG